UAAGUUAGAAAGGGCGCACGGUGGAUGCCUUGACACUAGGAGUCGAUGAAGGACGGGACUAACGCCGAUAUGCUUCGGGGAGCUGUAAGUAAGCUUUGAUCCGAAGAUUUCCGAAUGGGGAAACCCACCAUACGUAAUGGUAUGGUAUCCUUAUCUGAAUACAUAGGAUAAGGAAGACAGACCCAGGGAACUGAAACAUCUAAGUACCUGGAGGAAGAGAAAGCAAAUGCGAUUUCCUGAGUAGCGGCGAGCGAAACGGAACAUAGCCCAAACCAAGAGGCUUGCCUCUUGGGGUUGUAGGACAUUCUAUACGGAGUUACAAAGGAACGAGGUAGACGAAGCGACCUGGAAAGGUCCGUCGUAGAGGGUAACAACCCCGUAGUCGAAACUUCGUUCUCUCUUGAAUGUAUCCUGAGUACGGCGGAACACGUGAAAUUCCGUCGGAAUCUGGGAGGACCAUCUCCCAAGGCUAAAUACUCCCUAGUGAUCGAUAGUGAACCAGUACCGUGAGGGAAAGGUGAAAAGCACCCCGGAAGGGGAGUGAAAGAGAUCCUGAAACCGUGUGCCUACAAAUAGUCAGAGCCCGUUAACGGGUGAUGGCGUGCCUUUUGUAGAAUGAACCGGCGAGUUACGAUCCCGUGCGAGGUUAAGCUGAAGAGGCGGAGCCGCAGCGAAAGCGAGUCUGAAUAGGGCGUUUAGUACGUGGUCGUAGACCCGAAACCAGGUGAUCUACCCAUGUCCAGGGUGAAGUUCAGGUAACACUGAAUGGAGGCCCGAACCCACGCACGUUGAAAAGUGCGGGGAUGAGGUGUGGGUAGCGGAGAAAUUCCAAUCGAACCUGGAGAUAGCUGGUUCUCCCCGAAAUAGCUUUAGGGCUAGCCUUAAGUGUAAGAGUCUUGGAGGUAGAGCACUGAUUGGACUAGGGGUCCUCAUCGGAUUACCGAAUUCAGUCAAACUCCGAAUGCCAAUGACUUAUCCUUAGGAGUCAGACUGCGAGUGAUAAGAUCCGUGGUCAAAAGGGAAACAGCCCAGACCGCCAGCUAAGGUCCCAAAGUGUGUAUUAAGUGGAAAAGGAUGUGGAGUUGCUUAGACAACUAGGAUGUUGGCUUAGAAGCAGCCACCAUUUAAAGAGUGCGUAAUAGCUCACUAGUCGAGUGACUCUGCGCCGAAAAUGUACCGGGGCUAAAUACACCACCGAAGCUGCGGAUUGAUACCAAUGGUAUCAGUGGUAGGGGAGCGUUCUAAGGACAGUGAAGUCAGACCGGAAGGACUGGUGGAGUGCUUAGAAGUGAGAAUGCCGGUAUGAGUAGCGAAAGACGGGUGAGAAUCCCGUCCACCGAAUGCCUAAGGUUUCCUGAGGAAGGCUCGUCCGCUCAGGGUUAGUCAGGACCUAAGCCGAGGCCGACAGGCGUAGGCGAUGGACAACAGGUUGAUAUUCCUGUACCACCUCUUUAUCGUUUGAGCAAUGGAGGGACGCAGAAGGAUAGAAGAAGCGUGCGAUUGGUUGUGCACGUCCAAGCAGUUAGGCUGAUAAGUAGGCAAAUCCGCUUAUCGUGAAGGCUGAGCUGUGAUGGGGAAGCUCCUUAUGGAGCGAAGUCUUUGAUUCCCCGCUGCCAAGAAAAGCUUCUAGCGAGAUAAAAGGUGCCUGUACCGCAAACCGACACAGGUAGGCGAGGAGAGAAUCCUAAGGUGUGCGAGAGAACUCUGGUUAAGGAACUCGGCAAAAUGAACCCCGUAACUUCGGGAGAAGGGGUGCUUUCUUAACGGAAAGCCGCAGUGAAUAGGCCCAAGCGACUGUUUAGCAAAAACACAGCCCUCUGCGAAGCCGUAAGGCGAAGUAUAGGGGGUGACACCUGCCCGGUGCUGGAAGGUUAAGGAGAGGGGUUAGCGUAAGCGAAGCUCUGAACUGAAGCCCCAGUAAACGGCGGCCGUAACUAUAACGGUCCUAAGGUAGCGAAAUUCCUUGUCGGGUAAGUUCCGACCCGCACGAAAGGUGUAACGAUGUGGGCACUGUCUCAACCAGAGACUCGGUGAAAUUAUAGUACCUGUGAAGAUGCAGGUUACCCGCGACAGGACGGAAAGACCCCGUGGAGCUUUACUGUAGCCUGAUAUUGAAUUUUGGUACAGUUUGUACAGGAUAGGCGGGAGCCUUUGAAACCGGAGCGCUAGCUUCGGUGGAGGCGCUGGUGGGAUACCGCCCUGACUGUAUUGAAAUUCUAACCUACGGGUCUUAUCGACCCGGGAGACAGUGUCAGGUGGGCAGUUUGACUGGGGCGGUCGCCUCCUAAAGUGUAACGGAGGCGCCCAAAGGUUCCCUCAGAAUGGUUGGAAAUCAUUCGUAGAGUGCAAAGGCAUAAGGGAGCUUGACUGCGAGACCUACAAGUCGAGCAGGGACGAAAGUCGGGCUUAGUGAUCCGGUGGUUCCGCAUGGAAGGGCCAUCGCUCAACGGAUAAAAGCUACCCCGGGGAUAACAGGCUUAUCUCCCCCAAGAGUCCACAUCGACGGGGAGGUUUGGCACCUCGAUGUCGGCUCAUCGCAUCCUGGGGCUGUAGUCGGUCCCAAGGGUUGGGCUGUUCGCCCAUUAAAGCGGUACGCGAGCUGGGUUCAGAACGUCGUGAGACAGUUCGGUCCCUAUCCGUCGUGGGCGUAGGAAAUUUGAGAGGAGCUGUCCUUAGUACGAGAGGACCGGGAUGGACGCACCGCUGGUGUACCAGUUGUUCUGCCAAGGGCAUAGCUGGGUAGCUAUGUGCGGAAGGGAUAAGUGCUGAAAGCAUCUAAGCAUGAAGCCCCCCUCAAGAUGAGAUUUCCCAUAGCGUAAGCUAGUAAGAUCCCUGAAAGAUGAUCAGGUUGAUAGGUUCGAGGUGGAAGCAUGGUGACAUGUGGAGCUGACGAAUACUAAUAGAUCGAGGACUUAACCA
rnacentral:rRNA from 1 species